rnacentral:rRNA from 1 species
CACGUAGGGUGCGAGCGUUGUCCGGAAUUAUUGGGCGUGAAGAGCUCGUAGGCGGUGUGUCGCGUCGGCCGUGAAAACCUGCAGCUUAACUGUGGGCUUGCGGUCGAUACGGGCAUCACUGGAGUUCGGCAGGGGAGACUGGAAUUCCUGGUGUAGCGGUGAAAUGCGCAGAUAUCAGGAGGAACACCGGUGGCGAAGGCGGGUCUCUGGGCCGAUACUGACGCUGAGGAGCGAAAGCGUGGGGAGCGAACAGG